rnacentral:rRNA from 1 species
GACGAACCGUGCGAACGUUGUUCGGAAUCACUGGGCUUAAAGGGCGCGUAGGCGGGCUGCCAAGUCUGGGGUGAAAUGCCGCGGCUCAACCGUGGAACUGCCUUAGAUACUGACGGCCUCGAGGAAGGUAGGGGCAUGCGGAACUGUAGGUGGAGCGGUGAAAUGCGUUGAUAUCUACAGGAACUCCGGUGGCGAAAGCGGCGUGCUGGACCUUUUCUGACGCUGAGGCGCGAAAGCUAGGGGAGCAAACGGG